CCGAUGUAGUUCAAUGGUAGAACAUCAGCUUCCCAAGCUGAAUACGCGGGUUCGAUUCCCGUCAUCGG
rnacentral:tRNA from 1 species